rnacentral:rRNA from 1 species
UACGUAGGGGGCAAGCGUUGUCCGGAAUUAUUGGGCGUAAAGAGCGCGUAGGCGGUCCGGUAAGUCGGUUGUGAAAGUCGGGGGCUCAACCCUCGGAUGCCGAUCGAUACUGUCGGGCUAGAGUCCGGAAGAGGCGAGUGGAAUUCCUGGUGUAGCGGUGAAAUGCGCAGAUAUCAGGAGGAACACCUGCGGCGAAGGCGGGUUGCUGGGCCGACACUGACGCUGAUGCGCGAAAGCCAGGGGAGCGAACGGG